UCGUCGUCUCCGCGAGUUCUUCUCGGCUGCUUAAGGCCAAAGAAAAAAAAAUAAACUCCUUUUAUCAUUCCUUCUUCUCUCACUUUACUCGUUCCAAAUUUUUAAUUUUUUUUUUUUUUUGAUAAGUGCGAUCCUCUUCAAGAGGAUUUCUCUGGCAUAUCAUAGUCAUACAUUUGUACCGAUCAAUCCACUCAUAUAACACAAUCUUGUCGCGAAUCGAAAACGUUUUCAUAAUAAUCUGUGAAUAUACACAAAGAGAAGAUGGGUGCUCCGUUAGUGUGCCACGGGCAUUCUCGUCCCGUCGUCGAUGUGGCUUAUAGUCCGGUGACUCCAGAUGGGUUCUUUCUCAUUAGCGCAAGCAAAGAUUCGAACCCGAUGCUGAGGAAUGGGGAG